AUUGAACGCUGGCGGCAGGCCUAACACAUGCAAGUCGAGCGGAUGAAGGGAGCUUGCUCCUGGAUUCAGCGGCGGACGGGUGAGUAAUGCCUAGGAAUCUGCCUGGUAGUGGGGGAUAACGUCCGGAAACGGGCGCUAAUACCGCAUACGUUCUGAGGGAGAAAGUGGGGGAUCUUCGGACUUCACGCUAUCAGAUGAGCCUAGGUCGGAUUAGCUAGUUGGUGGGGUAAAGGCCUACCAAGGCGACGAUACGUAACUGGUCUGAGAGGAUGAUCAGUCACACUGGAACUGAGACACGGUCCAGACUCCUACGGGAGGCAGCAGUGGGGAAUAGUGGACGAUGGGCGAAAUCCUGAUCCAGCCAUGCCGCGUGUGUGAAGAAGGGCUUCGGAUUGUAAAGCACUUUAAGUUGGGAGGAAGGGCAUUAAGUUGAUACCUUGCUGUGUUGACGGUACCAGCAGAAUAAGUACCGGCUAACUUCGUG
rnacentral:rRNA from 1 species